GACGAACCGUCCAAACGUUUAUUCGGAAUCACUGGGCUUACAGAGUUCGUAGGCGGUCUGGAAAGUUGGGUGUGAAAUCCCUCCGGCUCAACCGAGGAACUGCGCUUGAAACUACCAGACUCGAGGGAGAUAGAGGAAAGCGGAACUGAUGGUGGAGCGGUGAAAUGCGUUGAUAUCAUCAGGAACACCGGUGGCGAAGGCGGCUUUCUGGGUCUUACCUGACGCUGAGGAACGAAAGCCAGGGGAGCGAACGGG
rnacentral:rRNA from 1 species